rnacentral:rRNA from 1 species
GUUGCCUCGGCAGAGGUUACCUGGUACCUGGAGACAGGUUACCCUGUAGCAGCUGCCGGUGGACUACUAAACUCUUGUUAUUUUAUGUAAUCUGAGCGUCUUAUUUUAAUAAGUCAAAACUUUCAACAACGGAUCUCUUGGUUCUGGCAUCGAUGAAGAACGCAGCGAAAUGCGAUAAGUAAUGUGAAUUGCAGAAUUCAGUGAAUCAUCGAAUCUUUGAACGCACAUUGCGCCCAUUAGUAUUCUAGUGGGCAUGCCUGUUCGAGCGUCAUUUCAACCCUUAAGCCUAGCUUAGUGUUGGGAAUUUACAGUUAUGUAAUUCCUGAAAUACAACGGCGGAUCUGUGGUAUCCUCUGAGCGUAGUAAAUUAUUUCUCGCUUUUGUCAGGUGCUGCAGCUCCCAGCCGCUAAACCCCCAAUUUUUUGUGGUUGACCUCGGAUCAGGUAGGAAUACCCGCUGAACUUAAGCAUAUCAA